rnacentral:lncRNA from 1 species
UUUUUUCAUCAACCCUUUGAUGAUGCCACUCCAUAGUGAAGUUUAUUUCCGUCAACCCUUUGACGAUGAUAUUACAUAUAUAAUUCCUUUUCCACCAACCCUUUGGUGAUGCCAUCCUUUAUUUUCUUUUCGUCAACCCUUUGACGAUGACCGAUUCUUUUCCACCAACCCUUUGGUGAUGUCACUCCAUAGUGAAGUUUUCUUUCCGUCAACCCUUUGACGAUGAUACUACAUAUAUAAUUCCU